ensembl:lncRNA
CUAGCUACUUGGGAGGUUGGGAUGAGAAGAUGGUGUGGGCCUAGAGUUCAAGGCCAAAUGGGCAACAAUAGAAAGAUGCCCCAUUUCAAUACAAGUUCAAACAACAAAUCAAAACAAUACUGGUCAAUGUCAAAGUAAUAAAGGAGCCAAGGCAAUCAAGGAAAUGCAGUCCGAGGGGCAUAUGCCACCCAUGACUUCUAAAGCCAACCUUUAGACUCCUACAUGGAACUUUCCUGAAGCGGUGACUGGUGGAAGGGCUGAGUGUGACGCUGUGUCCUGUGAGGGCAGAGAUAUCUGUGUUUGUUUAGUGACAGCCCGUGUGCCUCACACCUGGCUGGCUCACCCUCGACAAGGAGCAGCCUGCAUUUACUUUGCUAUUUUCUAUAUCAUACAAUAACUUAUCAGCCUUUCAUCUUGCUCACUUUAAUCCAACAAGGACUUAUUGAUACCUGACUGGCCCAGGUCCCCUUCGGAGGAAGGGUCACAGGAAUGGGUGUGACGGAGCCCAGUCAAGCCUCCUUUGCGUGCUCUGGGUCUGUGGGAGAAACGCAGGUCUGAGAGCAAAAGGAGGUGGCUAUCCAAGUCCCUCCAGAGCACCAAGCAGGUGACUGUUCAAAGUAGGAGCCAGCCACCUCAUGGAACAAUGUUGGAACCCUGUGAGUGGCAGGUAUCACCACAACUCCGACAAGGUUGGUCCGGGUUCCUGAAACUGCACAGAAUUUGUGUAAACUCAAGCAGACAUGGUUGAGGGGAGCAUUGCUGAGGAGAUCUGAGUAACAGCAAAGUAACUACUACACCCAGUAAAGAUCAGCUUCAGACACAGCCCUCAGUUUCCAUCAAACUGCACUGACCUGGAAGGUAAACAACCCUUGUCUCCUGACUCUGCCAUCACUGCACGUGUACACCCAUGAGCAAGCACAGGCUCGCCUUGCUGAGUCCAGGGAGAAUCUCAACAACACCCCUGCCUGGAUGCCCAGACCACAACCUUACCAGGACUUAGGUUCCUCGAAGUGGCUAGACUUCACUCGCUUUCCAGGCAGAACAACCUCGUUUUGAGAAAGCAACUGAAUGUACAUCUGAGAAGUGUGCAUUCAGCUCCAGAAACCUUAUAUCCAACCAAAAAAAAAAAAAAAAAAAAAAAACCAGGCCCCUUGACAGCAGCUAGACCCUCACAGACUGAGGCUAUCAGAACAUGUUCUGGGCCUUCCCUUAGGAAACACCAGCUCUCUCUGAGCCUGUAUGUACGAAACUGGAGGAGAACAGACAGCCUGUGCAAUCAUACUGUGGAUUGAUUUCCUCCACCUGACCAUUGGCACAUGAGUUAUAGAGCAUUUUUCUCCACCAACCUCAGCAUGCAAACGCCCUUCAUUUACAGCUGGCCUGGCUGUUUUCUUCACGCAGACUUGAAAACUGAUUCCCCCUGAGCAAUGUUCUGGGAAACUAGGAGACUGCUAGAAAAAUCCCUCCUCAUUACUGAAUCAGAAUGAUCCUCAAGGAGAUGGAGAGCUUAGCCCAGCCUCUCCAUCUUCUAACAUUAUCUGCUUUCUUAUGGGAAGAGGCCACAUUUUUGCUCAACUCACAUCCCUCACUCUGCUUUAGGUAGCAGCAACUUCACAUUGUUUUUCAAGGAACUACUUUCUUCCCAUUUUCAUCCCAUGAAAUUUAGAUGGGGGUAAUUUCUAUCUCUUCAGUCUUGAAAAGGUUCCAAAACCAAUCCACACCUCCCUGGCUAUUACUGUGUGAAGGUACAGCAGGUCCAGGAUACAUCAACCUUAGUGACCUAAUUGGAUGGAGUUUGAAUUCUGGUGAACACGGACAUGUCUACUGUUUUCCACCGAAAGUCCAUGAGGUGUCUUAAGGUCACAGUAAGCAGUACCUGUAGUCACAGUCUUUUGAUAUCCAGUCACUUUCUCAUAGGGAACAGAUAGUGACAGAUAAUUUCAGUGCUGCACUAAGAGCAUGAAGUGGAAGCUUCUGCUUAUGUCAUGUAAUGCAGACUCACACGGUGUUUAGCUGAGGUGAGAUCCGUGGGAGGACAUGUGAUGUUGAGAGAGAGUACAAACAGGACUCAAUGGGCAGUGAUGGUGUGCUUGCAUAGCUAGCCCUGUAACACUCUGUUGGUCUCACAUCUUCGCUGAACUUCACUUUGUUGAGAGAGGCAUGGCUUCCCCUGGAAUUACAGUUAGUUCUGGUCUCUCUCACUGACUCGUGCCUAUUUGGCAGAGGCCUGGCUGUUUCUGCUGGAUCCUGCCACUGCUGCUGAUUUGUGUUUGGUAUCCUGACACUACUGAACUGGACUGCUGGCAUCCUGAUGAACAGGGAUAGGAAUCACCUCAAAGAACUACUUAUAAACAGGUCCACAUCCCCUUGUCCUACUUGUCUCCCCUACUUUUGGACUGUGGGCUAGAAGGGGAUCGAAGCAUUUGAGAACUCUUGUUAAAAGUAGGUUUUAGGGGCUGGGGAUUUAGCUUAGUGGUAGAGCGCUUACCUAGGAAGCGCAAGGCCCUGGGUUCGGUCCCCAGCUCCGGAAAAAAAAAAAGAACCAAAAAAAAAAAAAAAAGUAAGAGCAGUUAUUCAUUCUGCUCACCAGUGGGAGGCACAGAGACAAUGACCACUGCUGGAUGGAUGGUGUGGUGCUAUGGCAGACUUUUUAUGCGUUUGGGGAGGGGGAAGGCGGCUUCACAUCACAGCAUGAUGGAAUCCAAUAUGGCCUAGUGAGAAAGAUCAUGAACCCAAAGCUUCACUCUUCCAGAGAGCGCUUCAGAAAGGUGUGGCCUGGCUCUUCAGGCUUUGGGGUCUGUCUAAAGGGACAGGCCACGUUCUCACAACUCCUCCUUCCCCCCACCCCAGGCCUGCCUGCUCCUCUCUACUCCAGCUUCACCCAGCUCAUCCUUUCUGAUGGCACACUGCCCUUUCUAGGACAUUAUGAAAGAACGUCUGGAGCAAACGCUGUGUUCCCUUAGCUAACACAUCUGUUCACUAAAGCCUUCACUCAGGAGCAGGCCAGCUUUUCAGGAGCCUAAGUCCAUACAUUCACCCCACUUAUGACAAAAGUUCAUUUUCAAAUAUGACUCUUUUUUCCCCCAGAAACAGUUUUUAGUUUUCAAUGAACUCGUAAACAAAAGCUCCCAUUUCAAAAUAAAAACAAAACCCCAGAUCAGAUAGAUGCUCGCAAUGAUUACAUUUAUCUAAGCAACACGCACACACGCUCAGCUGUAAGACAGUGACUAGACUUCCAUGACAAAUACGCUUUUUUUAAAAUAUGACUCUAAUGGUGUCACUUUCUUGCCUCCAGGCCGGAUAAACACCUGGACAGACAUCUUAGCUCCUUCUUCCCUCCUGUUAGCUUUUCCUUAUCAUUCCAGAGGCCUCUCCCCAGCCUUCAG